UACGGGGGGGGCAAGCGUUGUUCGGAAUUACUGGGCGUAAAGGGCGUGUAGGUGGCCAACUAAGUCCGACGUGAAAUCCCCAGGCUUAACCUGGGAACUGCGUCGGAUACUGGAUGGCUUGAAUUCGGGAGAGGGAUGCAGAAUUCCAGGUGUAGCGGUGAAAUGCGUAGAUAUCUGGAGGAACACCGGUGGCGAAGGCGGCAUCCUGGACCAACACUGACGCUGAGGAGCGAAAGCCAGGGGAGCAAACGGG
rnacentral:rRNA from 1 species